AGCCUUGUAGCUCAGCGGUAGAGCGUCCGAUUGUUAAUCGGCUGGUCGCAGGUUCGAUCCCUGCCUUGGCUGCCA
rnacentral:tRNA from 1 species